rnacentral:rRNA from 1 species
UAGGGAAUUUUGCGCAAUGGGCGAAAGCCUGACGCAGCAACACCGCGUGAGGGAUGAAGUUCUUUGGAGCGUAAACCUCUGUCAGUGGGGACGAAUUUUGACGGUACCCACAAAGGAAGCAUCGGCUAACUACGUGCCAGCAGCCGCGGUAAGACGUAGGAUGCGAGCGUUGUCCGGAAUCAUUGGGCGUAAAGAGUUCGUAGGCGGCAUGUCAAGUCUGGUGUUAAAGCCCGGGGCUCAACCCCGGUUUCGCACCGGAUACUGGCAAGCUAGAGUGCAGAAGAGGCAAGGGGAAUUCCCAGUGUAGCGGUGAAAUGCGUAGAUAUUGGGAGGAACACCGGUGGCGUAAGCGCCUUGCUGGGCUGUUACUGACGCUGAGGAACGAAAGCCGGGGGAGCGAAUG